rnacentral:lncRNA from 1 species
AUGAAGAACCAAUCAAUGGGGAUAGUGUUCACUCUGCUUGGACUGACAAACGACCCCCUACUACAGAUUGUGAUUUUUUUGUUUCUAUUUUUUAAUUAUGUCCUGAGCCUGAUGGGGAACUUAACCAUUAUCCUCCUCAGCCUGCUGGAUCCAUGGCUCAAGACUCCAAUGUAUUUUUUCCUCCGAAAUUUCUCCUUCUUAGAAAUUUCAUUCACAACUGUUUGCAUUACACGAUUCUCGACAAGCAUUCUGACUGGAGACAAGACAAUUUCCUACGAUGCUUGUGCAAUUCAAUUAUUCUUCUUUCUUUUAUUAGGAGUUACUGAGUUUUACCUCCUGGCUGCCAUGUCCUAUGACUGCUACAUUGCCAUCUGCAAACCACUGCAUUAUCCAAUCAUUAUGAGCAGCAAAGCGUGCUACCAACUUGUAAUCAUCUCUUGGGUAGCUGGAUUCGUAAUCAUCUUUCCCCUUUUGGUCUUGGGACUCAAGCUGGAUUUCUGUGCUUCCAAACUAUUGAUCACUUCUUAUGUGACACUUCUCCUAUUCUACAGAUUUCUUGCACAGAUACAAGUUUCAUAGAAUUAAUGGCUUUUAUCUUAGCUGUGCUGACACUCAUCACCACAUUGUUGUUAGUGAUCCUCUCCUACACAUACAUCAUCAAAACCAUUCUAAAAUUCCCUUCUGUUCAACAACACACCAAGGCUUUUUCCACUUGUUCUUCACACAUGAUUGUUGUCUCUAUUACUUAUGGGAGUUGUAUCUUUAUGUAUAUGAAACCAUCAGCAAAAGAAAGGGUGACUUUAACUAAAGGAGUAUCUGUACUCAAUAUCUCUGUUGCCCCUUUACUCAACCCUUUCACACUCUAAGGAACCAGAAGGUGAAAGAAGCUCUC